UUUAGAUCAGAUCUAAGUCCUCUUCAAUCCCUUUAAACCUUUUCUCCAAGUUCUUCCAAGAAGGCGGAUCAAAAGUUGAUAGCGUUUGGAAGAUCAAAUUUCAGCCUCAAGAAAUUCUGCGCAAGCUAGCACUUCCGCAGGAUUGGAUCUCUUCAGGAACUUCGCGUGGACUUCUCGUAGAGGCCAUUCGUGUGCGUGGCUGCGAAGUCGAGGAUCAGAUCCACAAGUUUCAUCCAUCAUAAAA
rnacentral:lncRNA from 1 species